rfam:Pantoea sp. AS1 26__len__173718, whole genome shotgun sequence.
UCUCGUCUGAUCACUUUUCAGGCCAGAAAAAGAGCUAAUUAGUCAUUUUGCCGAAUGAAACGGACACGCAGCAAUGGCGUAAGACGUGAUGUUUAUUCAGGCACUUAGCGGGCUGCGGGUUGCAGCCUGGACGGAAGUUUGAGAUGCAGGAGUUUUAAAUCUCUCUCAGGCAUUUCAGCGCAACGGCGCUGUUUUUCCUUAUGAAAAACAGGCCACCGACGUUAUUUGCGCCCCUCGCGCAGUCGACAACCGGGAGGUUGACGUAAAGCACUUAGUCACGGGGCCAUCGGUCAGAACUCGUCCAGGGUAACUAUGCCCGCAGCUUUAUCACUCA